CAGCAGCCGCGGUAAUACGGAGGGCGCGAGCGUUGUCCGGAUUCACUGGGCGUAAAGCGGGUGUAGGCGGUCGGGUAAGUCGGACGUGAAAGCCCGGGGCUCAACCCCGGAAGGGCGUCCGAAACUGCUCGACUUGAGGGCGGGAGAGGGAGGUGGAAUUCCCGGUGUAGCGGUGAAAUGCGUAGAUAUCGGGAGGAACGCCGGUGGCGAAGGCGGCUUCCUGGCCCGUUACUGACGCUGAGGCACGAAAGCCAGGGGAGCGAACCGGAUUAGAUACCCGGGUAGUCCUGGCUGUAAACCAUGGGCGCUAGGUGUGGGUGGUGGUGAGCCAUCUGUGCCGAAGCUAACGCGUUAAGCGCCCCGCCUGGGGAGUACGGUCGCAAGGCUGAAACUUAAAGGAAUUGGCGGG
rnacentral:rRNA from 1 species